rnacentral:rRNA from 1 species
ACGCUCGACACCUACGGGGGCAGCAGUGGGGAAUAUUGCACAAUGGGGGAAACCCUGAUGCAGCGACGCCGCGUGAGCGAAGAAGUAUUUCGGUAUGUAAAGCUCUAUCAGCAGGGAAGAAAAUGACGGUACCUGACUAAGAAGCCCCGGCUAACUACGUGCCAGCACGCCGGACGGUAAUCUGGAGGCCGGGCGUGGACGAAGGC